rnacentral:rRNA from 1 species
UACGAAGGGAGCUAGCGUUGUUCGGAAUCACUGGGCGUAAAGCGCACGUAGGCGGAUGUGUCAGUCAGGGGUGAAAUCCCGGAGCUCAACUUCGGAACUGCCCUUGAUACAGCACGUCUUGAGUCCGGAAGAGGUGGGUGGAAUUCCUAGUGUAGAGGUGAAAUUCGUAGAUAUUAGGAAGAACACCGGUGGCGAAGGCGGCCCACUGGUCCGGUACUGACGCUGAGGUGCGAAAGCGUGGGGAGCAAACAGGAUUGAGAUACCGGAGUAAG